AUGAAUCUCUUCAUCAUCACCUUCAUCUGGAUUCUUGGAGGUUUUAUUCAAGAAUCCAGAGGAGUUACUGUAACUCAGAGUAAAGAUCAAUCUGUUUCUGUUGGACAAACCGUCAAUAUAAAGUGUACAAUUGAUACUCAAUUAUCUAGCAAUGAUUUAUUUUGGUAUCAGCAGAAACCUGGAGAAGCUCCUAAACUCAUCAUUUAUUUAAUAAAUAAUCGUCAUGGUGACACUUCACAGAGAUUCAGUGCCAGUGGAUCAUCUGGUGGUACAGAUUUUACUCUGAGCAUCAGUGAAGUUCAGACUGAAGAUGAAGGAGAUUAUUACUGUCAGAGUAGACACUAUAUCAACAGUAAAGAUGUGUUCACACAGUGA